rnacentral:rRNA from 1 species
AGAGUUUGAUCCUGGCUCAGGAUAAACGCUGGCGGCGUGCCUAACACAUGCAAGUCGAACGCCCUUAGCAAUAAGGGAGUGGCGGACGGGUGAGUAACACGUGGGUUAUCUACCAUCGGGUGAGGAAUACCGGCGAGAAAUCGCCGACAAUACCGCAUACGCUCGCAAGAGUAAAGCCUUUCGGGGCGCCUGAUGAUGAG